rnacentral:rRNA from 1 species
UACAGAGGGGGCAAGCGUUAUUCGGAAUUAUUGGGCGUAAAGGGCGCGUAGGCGGCUUGGCAAGUGGAAGGUGAAAUCCCUCGGCUUAACCGAGGAACUGCCUUCCAGACUGCUUUGCUUGAGGCCGGGAGAGGCGAGUGGAAUUCCCAGUGUAGCGGUGAAAUGCGUAGAUAUUGGGAGGAACACCAGUGGCGAAGGCGGCUCGCUGGACCGGUUCUGACGCUGAUGCGCGAAAGCGUGGGGAGCAAAC